rnacentral:lncRNA from 1 species
UGUCCCUGGACUAUAAGCUCGCUCCAGAAAUGCUGCUGCUACUCAAAUGAUGCUCCAACACCUGGAUCUGUGCAAAAAGAUGCACAAAGUGUAGCAUCAGCACAACUGACUCCACGUGCUGGUAAGUGCCUGGCCUAACCCCAGCAAAGUAAUUAUGAGGCUAAAUAGGACCUACCUAAAACAUGUGCAGAUAUAUACAUAUACAGAAGCAACAGAAAUAACAACAGAAAAUAUCAACUAAAAGGGGAAGGGGCAUAAUCGGGGGAGAUACGGUGAAAACAUAUCAAGGGAUAUAACAACGAAGCUAUCUCAAUACCAUAACUCAUAUAUAAGUGAUCGACGCGCCACACGAUCUCAUUUCUUUAUUCAUAAGUGGACGGCAUGCCACACGUUCCCAUCUCAUAACAUCUCGUGGUCGGCGUGCUACACGAUCCCAAUCAUAAUAUCUCGUGGUCGGCGUGCCACACGAUCCCAAUCAUAAUAUCUCGUGGUCGAUGUGCAACAUGAUCCCAAUCAUAAUAUCUCGUGGUCGGCGUGCCACACGAUCCCAAAAUAAUAUCUCGUGGUCGGCGUGCCACACGAUCCUAAUCCUAAUAUCUUAUGGUCGGCAUGCCACACGAUCCCAUUCAUAUAAUCUCGUGGUUGGCGUGCCACACAAUCCCAAUCAUAAUAUCUCAUGGUCGGCGUGCCACACGAUCCCUUAUCUUUCAACAGAAAACACCAUUUGUCAUACCUCUUUUUUCACUAUACACCCCGCGAUGGGCAUAAAGGAGUUUUUCCAAUUAAAGGACAAUCAGAACGGGAUUUGGUAUUAUUUAUUCAGAGUCGCCACUUGGGAGAUUAAUGUUGUACCAAGUCACCAGUUGAAUCCCGAACCGAGGAAUAUCAUGACUUUGUUAACAGUCUGCGAACAAGAAAUCCGGAUAAGGAAUUAUGUUAACCCGGGAGAAGGUGUUACGCAUUCUCGGGUUUCGUGGUUCUGGCACGGUCGCUCAACUAUUGAAUUUAUCUAUUAUCUGAUUUUAUUACAUGAAGAACCUAUGUGCCAAUUUUUACAUUUUACCGUUUUAUUCAACAUGUUUUAUUUAAAAGAAAAUGAACGUCAUUCAAAACAUGUCUUUGGAUCACGUCACAUGAAAUGCACCCUUAAUUCUAAACACAUUUUGUUCAACGUUUUAGGAUUUGGAUUUGGGUCGCAUGAAAUGCACACCCGAACUUAAGAAGGUAAUUUUAUUAAAAUCAAGUCUAAAAGAGUCUAGCGCGUGAAUAUCUUUUGGGAGGGUCGCAAAAUUUGCUAAACGACCCUUUCCGAUUUUCUAAAUAUUUUUAAACCUUUAUUGAGGGUCCCACAAUUUUGCAUUUUUAUUGCGUGAGGCUUGUCUCAAUUUAUUUUAUGGGGUAAGCCUAAGAGCAACAAUAUUUUCUAUUUUUGUUUUUAUCUCUAGAAGAAAAAGAAAAAUCCUAAAUGAUUAUUAUUAAAAUUCGGGCAAUAAGUUCAAGUCCUGGUCCAAACAAAAGGACGAACCUCUUAGCUUGAACCCGCUACCUAACCCAAAACCCAAAUUUUAAAUAAAUAUUAAACCUUGAAUUGCAUCUUAGAAAUAGGCUCAAGCUAAUAAACCACAUGGGCCAAAAGUUGGCCCAAAUGGAAAACAAGAGCUCAAGAAUAACCAAGAGCCUGCUAGCGGUCAGGGACUUGGGUUCGAAUCCUAAUGAGAGGAAUGAAACAUCGAGCCCCACUGAUUUUCAAAGUAUAGUUAAUGAUUAACAAACAAUUACUGGCUGCAAUUUCCUAGACUAUAUUAUCGAAAUGCAACUACAGAUCCAACUGUCUAUAUUAAGUACUUAACGGCACAUUCAAGCAAUUAUCAAUUCUAAGAUAAGCUACUGCAACUUCAAACCCAGUUCAGCUAUUUUUCCUGAUUUUUAUAGAGGUGAUUUACACAGAAAUAAUAUAACACCUAACUAAAGAUAAUGAUUAACUAAUACUAAAAUACAAGUUCGAAUUUCCAGUUUAGAAUUCUACACAGUCCAUGAUCAUCCUCAAUGAUCUAAUAUCAUCCCUAAGUACAAACUCCAUAAUUAAAAUCAGUAACAGAGUUUAACUAGACGACUGAAAGGAAUUUCGACAUAACAAACUACGUAAUCAUAUAUCAGAAAAAAAUCGAAUUGAGAAAUGCUCUGCACAUUCUAUUGCUAAUGGGAGUUUCCCUUUCAAUCAGGAUAUUACAUUAAAGCACUUGAAUGUGUACCUGGAAAUUGAAUUAAAAUAAGAAGAGAUGAGGGUCGGUAGCAGAUCAAGCAGUUAACAGAGAACAUAGCAGCAGCAAUUUUAACCCAGGAAUGUGUAGCAGAGGUACAACAUCAAAACGACUCUGAAAUAACUCGAUUGAGACAAAAACCCACUCGAAAUCAGUCAUAAGAUAUUUCUGAAGCUUCAAUCACCAGAAACUAACCAAAAAUAGCUAGAAAUAACCUCUACACAACUUGAAAUUUAACAUAGGAUCAAACUUGCCUUGCGAUCAGUCUAAAAUCUCAAUGUAACAGUAGAUGUUUUGGGGUUUUGUUGUUUUUGUUGUUAAUAUUUUUUACUUCUAAGAGAAGUUUUUGAAUUUGCAAUUCAAAAUUUGGGGUGAUGAAUACUUGUGAGAGUGUGGCGAAAUUUUAGGCCUCCAAACUUGAGUGUUAAGGCACAUUUGAUGCCCUUUUAUAGGCAACAAAAAGGGGUAAAUCAGAUUUUUGAUUUCUUUUUUAGUUUCUUUCUAUUUUCGGCUUGGUCCCUUAUUUUUGACUUGUUUCCCAAGCUAGUGCCCUAAGUUUAUUGAAUUCUACACUAAAAUCAUAUUCUAGAAGGCCCUAGGGUAUUCUUCCACCUAUACAAUACUUAUACUACCCUUUUUAUCGUUUUGAAAUUAGUGAUUUUAAUAUAACUAGCCUUUUACAUAUCUAAACUGCCCCUGACUUACCCCUGAAAUUACUAACCCACCCAAACCCCUUUAUUAGAGUUAAAAACUAACUGUAAUUAUCCAUAUCAGCUAUAACCAAUCCACAAACCUAGUUAAAAUGAAUAAAACUAAGCUUAAGACUAAUAAAAUUAUUAACUCAAUAAAAAAAAUUUAAGUUUCAAGGAAUAAAACUCAUAUAUGAGUCAAAAUCAGAACAAAAUUAAAACUAACAAAGAUCAGAAAUAAGAAAUUCAAUAAAUUCAAUUUUUAAAUAAAACAGGCAUGCAAUCAACACUUAACAAAUUCUAAUCCGUCAAUCAAACUUUAAUAAAACAAAUCAAAAUUUUAAAUGAUCAGAAAGCAAAUAAAACCCCUAAUUAAAUCGACGAUUCAACUUAGAAUUAACAAAUAAACAAACAAACAAACAACGGAAAUUAACCUAAGAACUAAACAUUUGACACUUAAUAGUAAUAACCCAAAAACAGAUUAAUGCUAAACUGGACUCUUAAUUAUUAAAAUAAAUUUUAUUUGUUAAGUAGAAGCAAACGAAAGAGAAUCACAAAAAGAAAAGAAAAACUCACUGUUAUAAUCUAAUUUUUCCUUUGAUUUAAACUCCGGAUACCUCUGGUGAUAUUUGAACAUCGCUGAUGGUGAUUUCGUCAUGAGGGAGAUGAAAUGCUGACAUAGUAUCAACUUGAAGCGGUUUUGGGAAAAUAAGGGUUUUUCCUAAAUCUUUGAAUUAAGAUUCGACAGGCCUGGGGAUAAUUCGACGAAAAAGAAGGUCAGAUACGGACAGAGGAGGAGGAGGACAUAGGGUGUCAGUUUGGUGGUGAUUGGGGACGGCGCCGCCGUGGGCGGCGGAGACAGCGGUGACAAAAUCCAACAUUCGAGACUUUUGGUGAUGAUGUAGAGAAAUCCAAGGAUGGAUUUGGAGUGAGGAGGUGAAGGAGGGUUAGUGGUAUAAUAUUGGGGCAAUUUGGAGCAUCGCCACCAGUGGAGGCGAUUUUCGGCCGGCGGGGGUGAGUCUCUGAUGAAUGAGGUGAGGGAUAAGGACGGGGAGCUAGCUGAUCCGACCAUUUUAUACCCCAAACCUAGGCAGUUCCACCCAUUGGAUCGAAACACAUCAAUG